rnacentral:rRNA from 1 species
CGCGGCCUAUCAGCUUGUUGGUGGGGUAACGGCCUACCAAGACAUCGACGGGUAGCUGGUCUGAGAGGACGAUCAGCCACACUGGGACUGAGACACGGCCCAGACUCCUACGGGAGGCAGCAGUGGGGAAUAUUGCGCAAUGGGCGAAAGCCUGACGCAGCAACGCCGCGUGAGGGAUGACGGCUUUCGGGUCGUAAACCUCUUUCAGUGAUGACGAAAAUGACGGUAGUCACAGAAGAAGGUCCGGCCAACUACGUGCCAGCAGCCGCGGUAACACGUAGGGACCAAGCGUUGUCCGGAUUUAUUGGGCGUAAAGAGCUCGUAGGCUGUUGCGUAAGUCGGAUGUGAAAACUCAGGGCUCAACCCUGAGACGCCAUCCGAUACUGCGCUGACUAGAGUCCGGUAGGGGAGCAUGGAAUUCCUGGUGUAGCGGUGAAAUGCGCAGAUAUCAGGAGGAAUACCAGUGGCGAAGGCGGUGCUCUGGGCCGGAACUGACGCUGAGGAGCGAAAGCAUGGGGAGCGAACAGGAUUAGAUACCCUGGUAGUCCAUGCCGUAAACGUUGGGCACUAGGUGUGGGGUCUUCUUAACGGAUUCCGUGCCGUAGCUAACGCAUUAAGUGCCCCGCCUGGGAGUACGG